GUGAUUAUAGCUCAGUUGGUUAGAGCGCCGGUUUGUGGCACCGGAGGUCAAGGGCUCGAUUCCCUUUAGUCACC
rnacentral:tRNA from 1 species